ACACACAACGAUAAUUGUGUGUGAUUUAAAAUUAGCAGAAUUGGUGCCCUGAUCUUUUGCAUUUGGGUUUUCGUCUUUUACCGCCUUACGAAAAACAUGGCGAUGAAACUGCACGUUGAAGAAGACUGACAACCUUUGGAAACUGAAGUCCUAAAUCCGUAUUGGGCCAUCGUGGCGUACUAUGGUCAAAACCCUCACGUGAGAAGUGACCCUGGCCCAGCAGUGCGACGUGCAUAUGGGUUGAUGAUGAUGAUGAUAGGGGUCAUAUAUAUAAUCAGGGGAUUUAAAAGAUGGGAGCCACAAGUUAAGGCCUUUGUCAAUGUAUUUGUUUGUCUGAGGCAUCAUAGCUCCCAAACGGAUAGACCGGUCUCAAAGCGAUUUAUUUGAAGUGGGGUAAACAACGAACGAAACCGUGA